rnacentral:rRNA from 1 species
AGGAUGAACGCUAGCGGGAGGCUUAAUACAUGCAAGUCGAGGGAGAAUUUGUCUUCGGACAGAGGAAACCGGCGCACGGGUGAGUAACGCGUACACAACUUGCCCCUAACUGGGGAAUAGCCCUGGGAAACUGGGAUUAAUGCCCCAUAAUAUUGACGAAUCUCAUGAAAUGUCAAUUAAAGUUCCGACGGUUAGGGAUGGGUGUGCGUCUGAUUAGCUAGUUGGUAGGUAACGGCCUACCAAGGCAACGAUCAGUAGGGGGCUGAGAGCGUGACUCCCCCAGACGGGUACUGACGACACGGACCCGACUCCGUACGGGAGCAGCAAGGUAAGGAAUAGUUGGAACAAGUGGGCACGAAGCCUGACUCCAGCCAUCCCGCGUGUAGGAAGAGGCCCUAGUCGGGUACUAAC